rnacentral:rRNA from 1 species
AGACGGGGGGUGCUAGCGUUGUUCGGAAUUACUGGGCGUAAAGGGCGCGUAGGCGGCUCUGCGAGUCGGGCGUGAAAUCCCGGGGCUCAACCCCGGAACGGCGCUCGAUACUGCGGGGCUGGAGACCGGAAGAGGAGGGUGGAAUUCCCAGUGUAGAGGUGAAAUUCGUAGAUAUUAGGAGGAACACCGGUGGCGAAAGCGGCUCUCUGGUCCGGUUCUGACGCUGAGGCGCGAAAGCGUGGGGAGCAAACAGGAUUAGAAACCCCAGUAGUCC